rnacentral:lncRNA from 1 species
UAUUGCACAUUGCAUGCUGUUAUCAAAAUAUCUAAUGAACCCCAUAAAUAUAUACACCUAUUAUGUACCCACAAAAGUUAAAAAUAAAAAUCUUUUAAAUUAAAAUUACAAGAGAAAAAAGAAUUAGGGCCAGGCACAGUGGCUCACAGCUAUAAUACCAGCACUUUGGGAAGCUGAGGAGGAUCACUUUAGGCAGGAGCUCGAGACCAGCCUGGGCAACAUAACAAGACCCUAUCUCUACAAAAAAUAAAUAAAUAAAACAAAAAAGAAUUAAGCCCAGAUCUGGUACCAAAUUUACAACUGCCUCAUGUCAACAGACCUUAUGGAGAUUGUUUUUGUUUUCUCUGUUCCCUCAAAGGACUUUCAAUGAAGCCCCUAAAGAGUAUACAUUUGUUUAUCAUUUUAAAAGAGAAUCAACUCCUUAUUCAGUCAGUUCAUAGUCUUUAUAAAUAAUGUUGGGCAUUCAAAUAGGACAUCUUUCAAAAAAUUACAUUAUCUAAUUAGACAACUUUUCAAAGUAACCUAUAGUGUCUUUGAAAAUUCAAGCAUUUCCUCAAGAGUAGUGUAUAGAUUUCAAAAAUUUAAAAUAGUUAUAUCUUGAAACUAAAGAUAUAUGUCUAAUUUUUGUAAAAUAAACAGUAAAUUUAGCAAAAGUACUCCUAGCAUUCUUCUCAAAUGUAAUACUAUUUUUGAAAAUAUGUAAAUAUUUUGAGAUAAUGUUAUACAGGUACAGCACCUGUACAACAUUAAAUAUUAUUUAAUCAUGUAAUUUCACUCUAGCCUGGGCAAAUAGUGAGACCUUGUCUCAACAAAUAAUAAAUAAAUAAAAUAAAUAAAAAUAAAUAUUGUACUAUUAAGAUUUUAGUUUGCUUUAGAAGUCCACUUAAAAAACAACUAAACAGUGUACAGGCAUACCUCGUUUUAUCGCGCUUCACUUUUCUCGGCAGAUACUGCAUUAAACAUAACUUUUAUAUACGCUGGGAAAUAAAAAAUUUCAUGCGACUUGCUCUAUUGUGAUACUCUAUUGCAGUGGUCUGGAACCAAACCUACUUCCGUCUUUACAUAAAACACCUGAAAUACAAGUCAUCAUUUCUUGCUUGAGUUACUGCAAUAGCUUCCCUCCUUCCACUGUUGUCUUUUUUUUUUUUUUUUUUUUUUUUAGACAUCUCCUGCUUACCAUCCUACAAUGGUUGCCUUUCACAUUUAGAAGGAAAUCCAUAUUCCUUAUUUCGAAAAAGUCCCACACAAGUUUACCUUUCUGUCCCCUCUUCCCAAUACAGGAGCACCCAGAUUCAUAAAGCAAGUACUUAAAGACCUACAAAACGUGUAAAAAAGAGACUAAGAACUGGCCUUUCCUUUUUCCUAAGAAUUUUAACAAAUAUUUUUAAAAAUGUAUGUAGAUUGUGUAAGUUCAUUGAGGAUGAU